rnacentral:rRNA from 1 species
AGUUGGUGAGGUAAAGGCUUACCAAGGCGACGAUCAGUAGCUGGUCUGAGAGGACGACCAGCCACACUGGGACUGAGACACGGCCCAGACUCCUACGGGAGGCAGCAGUGGGGAAUUUUGGACAAUGGGGGAAACCCUGAUCCAGCCAUGCCGCGUGAGUGAAGAAGGCCUUCGGGUUGUAAAGCUCUUUCAGCCGGAACGAAACGGUCACGGCUAAUACCUGUGACUACUGACGGUACCGGAAGAAGAAGCACCGGCUAACUACGUGCCAGCAGCCGCGGUAAUACGUAGGGUGCAAGCGUUAAUCGGAAUUACUGGGCGUAAAGCGUGCGCAGGCGGUUUUGUAAGUCAGAUGUGAAAUCCCCGGGCUUAACCUGGGAACUGCGUUUGAAU